AUGAAUAUUUUUCGAAAAUAAUUGUUUAAAAUAAUCAAUGAAUGAAGUAAAUUAGGAAUCUCGAGUGUCUAAAACCGAGUGAAAUCGUUAAAGAUGGACAAAUGCCAUAGAUUAUGUAAACAUGAAAUGAUGUCAAUAUCUUAUGUGUUAAUGAACCGCCUCCAAAGUACGAAAUCUAACGUUCGGCGGAGCUACCGGUGUAUUUAAUUGUGAAUGGUAGAUGUAUUGAAGGAAAGUACAUUGAAUUCAUACUUUAUCAUCAUGACAGAUUGUUUUUACGCAAGUGUUGGACAUGUUAAAAUUAUGAAUUGUACCAAAUUUCUAUAAAAUGUCAAUUUAUUAAUUAAGCGGGUGUUACCGGUGCACAUGCGAUCAAGGAUGAACUGGACCGUGAGUGCAGAUCAGAUGUGUGGACUACUGAACUGAGUUACUUAAUCAUGUUUGGAUACAUAAGGAUAGCACUCCAGGGUCAGUUUCAUGGCCUUGACUCAAUCCUAAUUGAUUCAAAACUGACAUUGGGACUGAGUGGUGUAACAACAGUUUUAUUAUCUGUGGCCUCAUCAGUUUGUUUCUAUAGUUACUGCAGCGUUCCAGUGACCUUGAUUUUUAUAGAGGUUGUAUCAUUCCUCAUGCUGGCUGUUGGCAUAGACAACAUCUUUAUACUUGUGUAGAUUUACCAGGUUGAAAGCAGAAAAGAAGAGGUAGAUGAAGGAAGAGAGAGCAAGAAGUGGAAGAGAUAUCCAUCGUACAACAACUUGCCAAGAUAUUGCCGUGUAGUGAAGAAGUCUGGUGAAUGUUGCCCAGUAGUUCAGUGUCAGGAUGGAUACUUCUUUUCCUCAUCCACAAACCUCGGUUCCCUAGCUAACGGCUUGGCUCUAAGUGUUUCUAACCCUCCAGCAGUUGUAGGAAAAAAACAAGUGCAGCCAACUUUACCAUCAGGGGAGGUGUUGCUACUGGGAGCUGGUAGUGCAGGCUUUACGGCACCAACAAUAAUUGGAUGUUUAUAUUAAAGGACAGUUGUACAUUAAGGACCAGGCUUGGGAAGAUGGAUGUGAAUUUUCUUGUAUCAGCAAGGAUGCCAGUACAGGACUUUAUUCAUGCAAACACAACUUCAGCCUCCACCCAGUGUGUCAUAUAGACUUGAGUUCUUUGGUGUGGCAAUCAUCAACUUUCUGGUAUAAUGACGUUUUUUUUUAAUCUUCAAAAAUGUGUCAUGGAUGAGCAGCUGAGAAUGUUUUUAGCUCACCUUGUCACAAAGGUGACAAGGUGAGCUAUUGUGACCGCUUGAUGUCCGUCAUCCGUCGUGUGUCAACAAUUUCUAAAAAAAUCUUCUUCUUGAAAACCACUGGGCAGAAUUACACCAAACUUCACAGGAAUGAUCCUUGGGUGGCCCCCUUUCAAAAUUGUUCACAGAAUUGAAUUCCAUGCAGAACUCUGGCUGCCAUGGCAACCGAAAGGAAAAACUUUGAAAAUCUUCUCCUCAAAAACCAGAAGCCCUAGAGCUUAGAUAUUUGGUGUGAAGCUCUACCAAGUUUGUUCAAAUCAUGACCCCGGGGUCAAAAUUGACCCCGCUCCAGGGGUCACUUGAUUUUACGUAGGAAAAUCUUCAAAAAUUUUCUAAAAAUAAACCAGAAGGCCUAGAGCUUAGAUAUUUCACUUGUAGCAUUGCCUGGUGGACCUCUACAUUUGUUCAAAUCAUGACCCCCGGGGUCAAAAUUGACCCCGCCCCAGGGGUCACUUGAUUUUACAUAGGAAAAUCUUCAAAACUUUUCUAAAAAUAAACCAGAAGGCCUAGAUCUUAGAUAUUUGACAUGUAGCAUUGCCGCAGACUUCUACAAAAUUUAUUCAAAUCAUGACCCCCGACCCCGCCCCAUGGGGUUACUUGAUUGUAGAUAGAAAAAUCUUCAAAAUUUUCUAAAAAUAAACCAGAAGGCCUAGAUCUUAGAUAUUUGACAUGUAGCAUUGCCUAGUGGACCUCUGCAAAUUUUGUUCAUAUCUUGUUAAAAUGUGUCUGCCUAUGUGCUCUAUGUCAAGACUUGAUCAUAUCAUUUUGAGCAAUGGUACUCAGGUGAGCGAUACAGGGCCAUCAUGGCCCUCUUGUUUGUUAAUUACUACUACUCUCUGCGGGUAAGAGCAUUGCUCUACUUACCACAAGAACCUCCUUGGUAGCUUUGGUAUUGCACCCGCCUCAAGUGCAGGAGAUCAUGAGUUCGCUCCCUGACCCCAUCAAUUUAUACCAAAGCUGUAAAAAAACAAUACUUGUAGCUUCCUCACUUAGCAACCAGCAUUAAAAGGAUUCCUCCAUCAUUUAAAGCUAUAAAGUCCCCAUAUGACCUAGACUGUACUAGUGCCCCUUGAAAUCCAAGCAAGCGAAUAUUAUUGCCAGUUGUUUAAGAAAUAAUUUAUCUCAUUCAGUGAUUUGUCGUGGAGUAAAGUCAUUGUUUGGAAUUCAGAGGUGAAGUAAUUAUAUCAUGAUGGCUAAUAAUGUGCAUGUCAACGUCAAACAAUGAUUUUAUUCAGCGACAAAUCACUGAAUGAGAUAAAUUAUUUUGAUUCUAACAUGUUACCAAGGAUUUUAAAGUACAUCCAACUGAUAUGCCUUUUGACGCUAUGACAGUAAUUGUGACAUUAGAAAAGUGAAUUGUUGUAAAAUAACACACAGUUCUCAACCUUCUUUGUUUAAUAGGAAUAUGGAACGGGUCAUGUCAGAAUUUCUGUCAGUAUUUAUCCUUCUUGAGUAUAGAGCUGUAGUAAAUAGUCUUUUAUCAUAUUGAACUUACUUUGUCAGUUAUAUAUUCU